AAGUUUGGUUGUGAAAUGUUGUAAAAUGCGAAAAAUAUAGCCCUGCGAAAUUUGCAAAUUUUGUAUUAGUUUGUGUUACGUUCGGGAAAAUGCACACCACAUUUGGCCCGAAAGUGGUGCAAAUUCCCGGUGCGUAAUACAAAUUAACACUAAAUUUGCAAAUUUCACAGGGCUAUAUUUUCCGCAUUUUACAACAUUUCGCAACCAAACUU